UGCAAAACAAAUCCCAACCGAAACUCGCAAACAGCGCAAGGCAAUGUUUUGUCACUAUACAGCAAGAGCAGUUAGGCAAAUGAUAAGCAGUGCAAAGCAGGUGGUGAUGCUCACCCAGGCGCGCACGUUAGCAUCUCCACCCACACCUCUCUCAUCGCACCCCACUAACGUACGCCUCGUACCCGAACCCAACCGCUCCUUCGUAACCAUGACCACCAAUAACGACGACCCUCACGAGGUCGACGCAAUAUUUCAGCGAAAGCACUCGCUCCGAUCCAAAUUACGCAAGGACCUCAAGAAUAUGGACCCAAUCCGGAGAUCCGAAGAAGAUAAUGCAAUUCAGAGUAUUGUAUUAGAAGCUCCAUGGUUUAAGGCUAGUAAGAGUUUAUGUGCUUAUAUUAGCUGUGCUGCUUUAAGAGAGGUUGACACAUCAAGAAUUGUGUCACAAGUUUUAUCCAAACCAACCCAAGAACAGAAAAAGCUUUAUGUUCCUCGUGUGGAGGACAGGAAUAGCAACAUGAGAAUGCUAAAGAUUUCGAAUGUUGAUGAUCUGGUUAUAAAUUCGAUGAACAUUUUGGAACCAUCUCUAGUAGAUUGUGAUGGGAAACAACGUGAAGAUGUUAUGGAGGCAAGCAAUCCAGUUGAUUUGUUCAUCUUACCUGGGCUUGCAUUUGACAGAUCUGGAAGACGUUUGGGCCGUAGUGGGGGCUACUAUGAUUUGUUCCUGAUGAAGUACCAAGAGCUUGCAAAGCAGCGGAAAUGGAAGCAGCCCCUCCUCGUUGCACUAUCAUAUUCUCUGCAGAUUGUGGAUGAAGGAGGUAUAGCUGUCACUUCCAAUGAUGUUCCAGUGGAUGCUCUUGUGUCCCCAGCUGGUUUCAUUCCUCUAAGCCCAGCUGCUUUGGACAGAGUUUAAUGUAAAGAAUCUCUCUUUUUUGCUCUACGUGAUGAAAGUUUGCCUACAAUUAAAUUGAAGAUUUAAGUGAUUUCUAAGAAUCUAAAUCCACUGCAUCUUCAAAUUAGCACGAGAGCUGGCUGGCAAUUCACAGGUCUCCUUCCCUUUUUUUAGCUGAAAACAGGAUUGAAAGUAAUAUGGAUCAGGGCAUUUCUCUUGCUUUUGCUUAAAGUUGUAUAACCAUCUUUUUUUUUGACUGAAUUGUAUAACCAUCUUAGAUUAGAUUAAAUCCUUUUGCAGCUUGAGAGUAUAUGUUUGACUGCUUUGAUAUAACAACAAUCAAAUUCUAGUCUCAAAAUUUUGGAGUCAACUAUGACUUCUCAAUAAUCUAAUCAUGAUCGGCCACAUGUAUUCUUUUCUGUUA